rnacentral:sRNA from 1 species
UUUCAGACUAAGAUCCAAUCGGGCUUCUUCCUCUGUACAAUAAGACUUUCGGCCCAUUCUUAUCCACUAGAAACAACCGUUUCUACGUUUGGGUACAAAUUGUUCAAUUGCUGCUUUCCGGACAAACAUCAAGUGAUCGACACGAUAUCACAUCACGUGUAUUCAGGCAAAAAACUGGGUCCCUGAUGAACGCUUCUUUGGAGAUACUGGAUCCAUUCACUCGAAUGGCAAAAACGAGGCUUGCCACAUGCACACAUUCUAAUUUGCCGAUCCCGACCUACCUGAUGUCGCAAUUACAAAUAUGAUUCAUUGACCGAGUGACGCCAUCUAUCCCCAAUAAUCUUGCAUGGUCGACUGCAAGUUUUCCAAACGAUAUCCACGGAAAUUAGCGGAGGAUAUCGUCACUGGAACCGACGGUUAUCCACUGUAUCAGCGUCGGUCACCCGACGAAAACAGUCGAACUAUCACAAAAAGUGAAAAUAAUGGAUUUCGUUGUCGACAACAGUUGGAUUGUUAAGUGAACUGUAAGAUGAUAAAUGUUGUGCAUCUGGAGAAUGGUAAACGAGUUUCACGGCAUGAAAUGUUGUUCAACGUGCUGAAAUACCUCUAGCGACAGCAUUGACCAGUUUCUUUGCACUCGGAGAUUCCACGCUAUUAUACUUGGAAUGUUUCAUCGAAGAAAUUUCAACGACGGAAGUAUGGCAAUGCAGGUCCUGGUUAUCCGGAUGUGCGUUCUACUGAUGCUCUUGGUCAUAUGUAUACAGUUCAUCCAAAGAAUGAUGAAUGCUUUGAUUUGCGGUUGCUGCUGGUUUAUGUGCGUGGCACUUGCGUACGCACUGUGAAUGGAACAAUAUUCCCAACAUAUCGUGCUGCAUGUGAAGAACUCAAUUUAUUAGAACACGAUACACAGAGGGAUACGACAAUCGAGGAAGCUAUUAUCUCUGCAUUUCCAAGUCAAAUAUGCACAUUAUUUGCUUUGUGGCACAUAUACAAAUAUAAUAUGUCAGAAGAUAAUUUACAUCAAAAUCGAGGGAGCGUCCGGCGAUCAUUGCGCCUCCGGAAAGCGAAUGGUAUCAUGGGCGGUUAGAUCGAUAUUCGGCAGAGUCCCGUCUACGAGGAAGCAGUAAAUUAGGAAGCUAUUUGGUGCGUGAAAGUGAUCGUAAGCCUGGCUCGUAUGUUCUUAGUUAUUAUGGACGCACUGGCAUAAACCAUUUUCGG